GAUGAAGAACGUAGCGAAGUGCGAUAAGCAAUGCGAAUUGCAGAACCGUGAGUCAUCAGAUUUUUGAACGCAACUGGCGCCGACUGGCUCUCCAGUCGGCAUGCUUGUUUCAGUGUCUCUUUAUCUCAUCACCCAGAUCAUAAUGCGAGAGAUACCCUUCUCUUGCUAAGCAUGAAAGCACUCUGCGCUCUGCGAGCGACUUCGCUAGUUCGAGGUCGCACUCAAUGCAGCAGUCACAUUGCUCACAAUGUGAACUCAUUGAGAGCUGAGGCAGUGCGGUGCAAACCGCCAGUGCUUAGUCACACAAACUUUCUUUGCAUCUGAAAUCAAGCAGGAUCACCCGCUGAACUUAAGCAUAUCAAUAAGCGGAGGA
rnacentral:misc_RNA from 1 species